rnacentral:rRNA from 1 species
UACGUAGGGUGCGAGCGUUGUCCGGAAUUACUGGGCGUAAAGGGCUUGUAGGUGGUUUGUCGCGUUGUUCGUGAAAACUCACAGCUUAACUGUGGGCGUGCGGGCGAUACGGGCAGACUGGAGUACUGCAGGGGAGACUGGAAUUCCUGGUGUAGCGGUGGAAUGCGCAGAUAUCAGGAGGAACACCGAUGGCGAAGGCAGGUCACUGGGCCGCAACUGACGCUGAGGAGCGAAAGCAUGGGGAGCGAACAGG